UACGAAGGGGGCUAGCGUUGCUCGGAAUCACUGGGCGUAAAGCGCACGUAGGCGGGCUCUUAAGUCGGUGGUGAAAUCCUGGAGCUCAACUCCAGAACUGCCUCCGAUACUGGGAGUCUUCGAGUCCGGGAGAGGUGAGUGGAACUGCGAGUGUAGAGGCGAAAUUCGUAGAUAUUCGCAAGAACACCAGUGGCGAAGGCGGCCCACUGGCCCGGUACUGACGCUGAGGUGCGAAAGCGUGGGGAGCAAACAGG
rnacentral:rRNA from 1 species